rnacentral:rRNA from 1 species
GAUGAACGCUGGCGGCGUGCCUAAUACAUGCAAGUCGAACGAAGCGGGGACGGGUGCGUAACACGUGGAUAACCUCCUAUACGACUGGGAUACCUUCGGGAAACCGGUGCUAAACCGGCUACUUAUAGAUGGCUCCUCGGUGCAUUAGCUCGUUGGUAAGGUAACGGCUUACAAAGGCCACGAUGCAUAGCCGACCUGAGAGGGUGAUCGGCCACACUGGAACUGAGACACGGUCCAGACUCCUACGGGAGGCAGCAGUAGGGAAUCUUCGGCAAUGGGCGAAAGCCUGACGGAGCAACGCCGCGUGAGUGAAGAAGGUCUUCGGAUCGUAAAACUCUGUUAUUAGGGAAGCGGUACCUAAUCAGAAAGCCACGGCUAACUACGUGCCAGCAGCCGCGGUAAUUC